rnacentral:rRNA from 1 species
AGAAAUAUUAUUAUUUUUAUUAAUUUUUUUUUAAUUUUAAUUAAAGUUUUAUUUAUUUAUUUUUUUUUUUUAGUAUUUAUUUUGAAUGAAAAUUUUAUUUUAUAGUUUAUUUGUACUGUGAAGGAUAUAUUUAUUUUUUUUAUAGUAGAUAUUUGUCGUACCUUUUGUAUCAGGGUUGAUUUAAUAUAUUUUAUUUAUUUAUUAUUCUCGAAUUUAUUUGAUCUAAUUUAUUAUGUUAUUUGGUGUAUUAUAACCAUUAUUAAUUAUAAUUUAGUUAUGAUAUGUUAUUCGCAAAUUUUGAUAUCUAGUUUUCUUAUAAAUGAAUUUAAUUCAUCUAUAUUUUUUUAAUUAAAUUUUUUUAAUUAAUUAUAAAUUUAUAGUAAUAUUUUGGUGGAUUAGCUCCUAAAUGUUUUUAUAAUUUUAUUUUUUUCAAUAAUUUAUAGGUUUUAAAUUAUCCAUUAUUUUAGUAUGUUAUAAUUUAUUAUUGUUAUUUUAUUAUUUAUUUUAAUUUAAUAAUUUAUUUGAAUGUUAUAUUUAAUUUUUUAUUAUAUGAAAUAAUGAUUUAAUUAGUAUAUUUUUUUUAUUUUUAUAACUAUUCUGUUAUGUAUUUUAAAGGAACUAGGCAAUAUUAUUUGUUCGCCUGUUUAUCAAAAACAUCUUCUCUUGAUAUUAAUUUGAGAUUUUACCUGCCCAAUGAUUUUUUAAUGGCCGCAGUAUUUUGACUGUGCAAAGGUAGCAUAAUCAUUAGUUUUUUAAUUGAUAACUUGUAUGAAUGGUUUGACGAAACAUUAACUGUCUCUAUUAUAUUAUUAGAAAUUAAAAUUUGAGUUAAAAUGCUUAAAUUUUGUUAUUGGACGAGAAGACCCUAUAGAUCUUUAUUAUUAUAUUAUUAAUUAUUUUAGUUUAUUUUUUUUUUAAUUUUUAUUUAAUUUUGUUGGGGUGACUUGAAGAUAUUAUUAACUCUUUAUUAUUAUUUACAUUAAUUUAUGUUAAAUUGACCUUAUUUUAUUGUUAUAAGAUUAAGAUACCUUAGGGAUAACAGCGUAAUUUAUUUUGAGAGUUCAUAUUGACAAAUUAGAUUGCGACCUCGAUGUUGGAUUAAGAUAAAUUUUAGGUGUAGUCGCUUAUUAUUGUUAGGUCUGUUCGACCUUUAAAUUCUUACAUGAUCUGAGUUCAAACCGGCGUGAGCCAGGUUGGUUUCUAUCCAUAAUUAUAUUUAUCAUAUUAGUACGAGAGGACCAUUUGAUUCAAAAAUUUUGUUAAUUUAAUUAUUAU